UAACUGCGAGUGAAGCGGCAAAAGCUCAAAUUUGAAAUCGGUGUCUACCAAACGCAUCGAGUUGUAAUUUGGAGGGACAACUUCGGGCUGAACCACACCGUAAGUUCCUUGGAACAGGACGUCAUAGAGGGUGAGAAUCCCGUGUCUUGGUGUCGGGUCAAACCAUGUGAAGUGUCUCCGACGAGUCGAGUUGUUUGGGAAUGCAGCUCAAAAUGGGUGGUAAAUUUCAUCUAAAGCUAAAUAUUGGCGAGAGACCGAUAGCGCACAAGUAGAGUGAUCGAAAGAUGAAAAGCACUUUGAAAAGAGAGUCAAAAAGUACGUGAAAUUGUUGAAAGGGAAGCGCUUGCGACCAGACUCGAUCCUUGGUGAUCAGCCGGGCUCCGGUCCGGUGCCCUCGCCAUUGAUUGGGCCAGCAUCGGUUCCGACGGUGGGAUAAAAGGAGGAGGAAUGUGGCUCCCUUCGGGGAGUGUUAUAGCCACCUUCACAAUGCUGCCAGUUGGGACCGAGGACCGCGCUUCGGCUAGGAUGCUGGUGUAAUGGUCUUAAGCGACCCGUCU
rnacentral:rRNA from 1 species